rnacentral:misc_RNA from 1 species
GAUGAAGAACGCAGCGAAAUGCGAUAAUUAAUGUGAAUUGCAGAAUUCAGUGAAUCAUCGAGUCUUUGAACGCACAUUGCGCCCCCUGGUAUUCCGGGGGGCAUGCCUGUCCGAGCGUCAUUGCUGCCCUCAAGCCCGGCUUGUGUGUUGGGCCUUGCUCCCCCGGGGGCAGGCCCGAAAGGCAGUGGCGGCACCGCGUCCGAUCCUCGAGCGUAUGGGGCUUUGUCACCCGCUCUGUAGGCCCGGCCGGCGCUUGCCGACCCCAAUCAAUCUUUUUUCAGGUUGACCUCGGAUAAGGUAGGGAUACCCGCUGAACUUAAGCAUAUCAAUAAGCGGAGGA